rnacentral:rRNA from 1 species
GAUGAACGCUGGCGGCGUGCUUAACACAUGCAAGUCGAACGAUGCAUUUAAGACAGAUUACUUCGGUUUGAAGUCUUUUAUGACUGAGUGGCGGACGGGUGAGUAACGCGUGGGUAACCUGCCUCAUACAGGGGGAUAGCAGCUGGAAACGGCUGGUAAUACCGCAUAAGCGCACAGUACCACAUGGUACAGUGUGAAAAACUCCGGUGGUAUGAGAUGGACCCGCGUCUGAUUAGCUUGUUGGCGGGGUAACGGCCCACCAAGGCGACGAUCAGUAGCCGACCUGAGAGGGUGACCGGCCACAUUGGGACUGAGACACGGCCCAGACUCCUACGGGAGGCAGCAGUGGGGAAUAUUGCACAAUGGAGGAAACUCUGAUGCAGCGACGCCGCGUGAGUGAAGAAGUAGUUCGCUAUGUAAAGCUCUAUCAGCAGGGAAGAUAGUGACGGUACCUGACUAAGAAGCUCCGGCUAAAUACGUG